rfam:Bacillus anthracis str. 'Ames Ancestor', complete genome.
AAUUGAGCGUGGAAAGGGAGAAGUAGUGAUCAUUUCCCUGUUUUAGAGAGCUGAUGGCCGGUGAAAAUCAGCACAUAGAUGAUCGCGAAUUACGCCCCUAGAGCAUCUUUUUUCGAUUGAAUUGUAUUCAAAAGGGAAGAGACGGUGCUAAGCCGUUAUGUAAAUAAGGUGGUAGGCUUUUUUUGGUCUGCAACUAGGGUGGUAACGCGAUAAUCAAAAUCGUCCCUUAU